rnacentral:rRNA from 1 species
AAGACCUUGCACUUUUGGAGCGGCCGAUGUCUGAUUAGCUAGUUGGUGGGGUAAUGGCCUACCAAAGCUUCGAUCAGUAGCUGGUCUGAGAGGACGGCCAGCCACACUGGGACUGAGACACGGCCCAGACUCCUACGGGAGGCAGCAGUGGGGAAUUUUGGACAAUGGGCGCAAGCCUGAUCCAGCCAUGCCGCGUGAGUGAAGGAGGCCUUCGGGUUGUAAAGCUCUUUCAGCCGGGAAGAAAAGGUUGCGACUAAUAAUCGCAAUUCAUGACGGUACCGGAAGAAGAAGCACCGGCUAACUACGUGCCAGCAGCCGCGGUAAUACGUAGGGUGCGAGCGUUAAUCGGAAUUACUGGGCGUAAAGGGUGCGCAGGCGGUUUUGUAAGUCAGAUGUGAAAUCCCCGGGCUUAACCUGGGAACU